GGCUGAGCGCUCCUCUCGGCGGCCCACGUGACCUAGACCUUUGGCGCCAAAGGUAGGUCUUCACCUGCCCUCCCCGUGACCUGGCCGCACCCGGGCAAGCCCUCCAUCCUGGGAGAAGCCGGGACCCCCCGGAGUGGAAUCCUGAAAAGUAACAGAGAAAGUGGACUUUGGCAUCUGAAGAGGCACAUCUGGUGAACCUAUGCACAAAUUCUGUUCGGAAGCCACCCUGCAACAGAGGAGAUCAUCUGUGCUUCCAGCCAGACUGUGCAGUGUAUCUGGACACCACAGAAAAGUGUGCCCCUCCCUGACCUAUGGCCAGAGCUUUGCAGCGUGCCUUAUAUUCCAAUUAAGAAGACACAGAGAGGAGCCUGUUUACACGUCUCCAGCAGCCUACCCAGAGAUCUCGCAG